rnacentral:lncRNA from 1 species
CAUGCCGUUGCACUCCAGCCUGGUGACAGAGUAAGACUCUGUCUCAAAAAUAAAUAAAUGCAAAAACAACAAAUCUUAUUUUUUCAACCUGUUCGAUGUCCCCAAAUUGUCCUCCAUGGUACUACAUAGUCAUUAAGAACAAAGAUUUAGGAGCCAGAUCAUUGGGGUUUUGAAUCUUGGCUGUGUGCUGGGCACUGUGCUAGGUGCUGGGGAUACUGUGGUGAACAAAACCUGAAGCUGCCCUCAAGAACCAUGUACAGCAUUGGAGGGGAGGCUGACCCCAAUCAAGAAAUCAUGACAAGUGCUACCAAGGAGAAGGACAAGAUGUUCUAAUUUUUAAUAAGAGAGAUUGACCCAGGCAGGGAGAUCAGGUGAGGCUUCCUUGAU